GGCUGGUCUGAAGGUCAUGAGUUAUCUCAUCUGAUUGUUCAUAGUUACAGAUUGACUUGUUCACUCUUCCCUGCCUUCUUGCUACUGCACUUCACUAGUCUAAG
rnacentral:Y_RNA from 1 species